rnacentral:rRNA from 1 species
UGGGGAAUAUUGGACAAUGGGCGCAAGCCUGAUCCAGCCAUGCCGCGUGUGUGAAGAAGGCCUUCGGGUUGUAAAGCACUUUUAUCCGGAAAGAAAAGCUUCGGGCUAAUACCCCGGGGUUCUGACGGUACCGGAAGAAUAAGCACCGGCUAACUUCGUGCCAGCAGCCGCGGUAAUACGAAGGGUGCAAGCGUUACUCGGAAUUACUGGGCGUAAAGCGUGCGUAGGUGGUUUGUUAAGUCUGAUGUGAAAGCCCUGGGCUCAACCUGGGAAUUGCAUUGGAUACUGGCAGGCUAGAGUGCGGUAGAGGGUAGUGGAAUUCCCGGUGUAGCAGUGAAAUGCGUAGAUAUCGGGAGGAACACCAGUGGCGAAGGCGACUACCUGGACCAGCACUGACACUGAGGCACGAAAGCGUGGGGAGCAAACAG